rnacentral:rRNA from 1 species
CAGCUCCRAWAGYGUAUAUUAAAGUUGUUGCAGUUAAAAAGCUCGUAGUUGGAUCUAGGGACGCGCAUUUCAAGCGCCCGUGCCGUCGGGUCAAACCGGCGGCUGCGUUGGCGUUGCGGGCUCGGUCCGUCGGUGCCCCACAAAGGGCUAUCGGCGUGUCAACCGGCCCGCCCGUCCCCUCCUUCUGGAUUCCCGUUCCUGCUAUUGAGUUAGUGGGGACGUCACAGGGGGCUCAUCGUCGUCGUGCAAACGGCGGCGGUGGGUCCCUGGGGCCCAGAUCGUUUACCGUGAAAAAAUUAGAGUGUUCAAAGCAGGCAGAUCCAAUUUUCUGCCACCGAAUACAUUAGCAUGGGAUAAUGGAAUAGGACCCUGUCCUCCUAUUUUCAGUUGGUUUUGGCAGCGCGAGGACUAGGGUAAUGAUUAAUAGGGAUAGUUGGGGGCAUUAAUAUUUAAUUGUCAGAGGUGAAAUUCUUGGAUUUAUGAAAGAUUAACUUCUGCGAAAGCAUCUGCCAAGGAUGUUUUCAUUAAUCAAGAACGAAAGUUAGGGGAUCGAAGACGAUCAGAUACCGUCGUAGUCUUAACCAUAAACGAUGCCGACCAGCGAUUAGGAGACGUUGAAUACAAAACACCACCAUCGGUGCGGUCGUCCUUGGCGUCGGUUUCGGCCGGCGCGGGGGYGGCUUAGCCCGGUGGCACCGGUGAA